AAAAUUAUAUUAGUUCGUUAUAUAUUAAUAAUAUUAUAAAAAACGCCUAAAUUGCGUUCCAUCGAAUUAUAACCUUUAUUUAUUUUUUUCCAAACCGGGAAACGAUUUUGGUAUAAUGGGAAUGCAAAUAAACGAUACGCUAAAUUUGGGGAAUUAAAAAUUUAUUAAAAAAGAGCAACGAAAAUUCGAAAAAACAAAUUUCCAAACCAAAUUAUAAACGAUUGUAAAAUUAAAAAACGAACAAAAUUUUAACGGUUAUCGAAUUAAAUUGCACGAAAACGGUUUAAAAAUUCGUUAAAAAGGCCAAAUAAAUAGGUUGGAAACAGUAAAACCGAAUUAAAUUGGAUCCGAAUACAAAUUCGUCGUUUAAAAGGCGCGAAAAGCAUACGUUGCAUCGAUUUAUUAACCGGAAACGGCGUUUAAUUUCGCCGCAGCGGCGCAAAUAAUAACGCCGGAUAAGGAAAAUUACGAAUUUAUAAAUAAACGUAUAAAUUGGCAAUUGGAAAACGCGCAAAAAAGGUUUUUUUACGUUCCCGUAAAUUUUAAAAAGGCGAAAUUGUUCGUAUUUGUCGACGGUUUUUUUGCGAAUAAUAAAAAUUUAAAUUUACAAAUCGGUUUUAUUAUUAUAUUGGGCAAUAAAAAUUCCGACGAAUAGGAAAUGGGUUUUCGCGUUAUUGGUAAUAUUUUAUAUUGGGUAUCGAACAAAUGCCACAAAAUAAUAAAAAACGUGUUAGUUAAUAAAAUUUAUAAUAUAAUAAACGGGUUUAAUAUAGGAUUUGUAUUAAAAAUUGCUAUCGCCACCAUUAUGGACCUAUUGGAUUUAUUUCCUGUACUUAUAAUUAUAUAUAUUAAUAAUUUGUCGUUGUACCAAUAUUUGGUACAAUUGGGAACGAUUUCGGAAAAACGAUUUAUAAUUAAUUUCCUGAAUUUGAAACAAUUGUACAAAAACAGGGAAAUUAACGAAAUUCGGUGGAUUUUUGGGAAAACCAACCCAGCUAAUAUAAUAACGAAAAAAACGCCGAAUCGGGUUUUAAAUAAAUUUGUAAAUACGAAUUUAACGUUUGUACAAAUUGAAAAAUAGGUUAAAAAAUUACGGGGUACGGAAGAAAUUCGCGGGGAUUCGGUUUAAAACAAAUUUAAUUAAAAUAUA
rnacentral:sRNA from 1 species